UGGGAACUGCGUUNUGAACUGGGUGACUAGAGUGUGUCAGAGGGAGGUAGAAUUCCACGUGUAGCAGUGAAAUGCGUAGAGAUGUGGAGGAAUACCGAUGGCGAAGGCAGCCUCCUGGGAUAACACUGACGUUCAUGCCCGAAAGCGUGGGUAGCAAACAGGAUUAGAUACCCUGGUAGUCCACGCCCUAAACGAUGUCGAUUAGCUGUUGGGCAGCAUGACUGCUUAGUAGCGAAGCUAACGCGUGAAAUCGACCGCCUGGGGAGUACGGUCGCAAGAUUAAAACUCAAAGGAAUUGACGGGGACCCGCACAAGCGGUGGAUGAUGUGGAUUAAUUCGAUGCAACGCGAAGAACCUUACCUGGUCUUGACAUGUACGGAAUCCUCCAGAGACGGAGGAGUGCCUUCGGGAGCCGUAACACAGGUGCUGCAUGGCUGUCGUCAGCUCGUGUCGUGAGAUGUUGGGUUAAGUCCCGCAACGAGCGCAACCCUUGUCAUUAGUUGCCAUCAUUAAGUUGGGCACUCUAAUGAGACUGCCGGUGACAAGCCGGAGGAAGGUGGGGAUGACGUCAAGUCCUCAUGGCCCUUAUGACCAGGGCUUCACACGUCAUACAAUGGUCGGUACAGAGGGUAGCCAAGCCGCGAGGCGGAGCCAAUCUCACAAAACUGAUCGUAGUCCGGAUUGCACCCUGCAACUCGAGUGCAUGAAGUCGGAAUCGCUAGUAAUCGCAGGUCAGCAUACUGCGGUGAAUACGUUCCCGGGUCUUGUACACACCGCCCGUCACACCAUGGGAGUGGGGGAUACCAGAAGUAGGUAGGGUAACC
rnacentral:rRNA from 1 species